rnacentral:misc_RNA from 1 species
GAUUUUCCUAGUAUCACCGUUGUACAAUGAACUUAUACCAGACGACUAGACGAGAAGGAAAGUUACGAGACUGAGGAGAAAGAGGAAAGUAAAGACGAAGAUGAAGAGGGAGAAGAAGGCAGUUACGUUGCCGAUUUCCAUCCUCUGGAACUGAUUGGUCCUGCUUUUUGCCGGGUCAUGGAGAUGCUAAAAAGGAAGCUCAAACAAGCCAAUCUAUUGGAAAUUUGGGGAUUAAAGGAGAUCAAACCCAAGCCCCUUGUUCACCUCCACCUCCAUCCAAGAGAUUGAAGAUUGUGUCUCAAAUUAACCCUAGAGAAUCAAUUUCCCCAAAUCAAAGAACUCCACAAUAACGCCUCCUAACAAGAAUCAGCCUUGUCUUUGCCUCUCCUCUGUUAUGUACUAUGGUGGUCUUACCAAGGGAUGGUCUCACAGUCCUAUCUAUUGCACCCAUCUAACUGCUAGUCUCCUCACGCUCUGCCUCUGUUAAUUCAUUGGCUUCUAAUA